rnacentral:rRNA from 1 species
CAUACAAUGACUCUCGGCAACGGAUAUCUCGGCUCUUGCAUCGAUGAAGAACGUAGCGAAAUGCGAUACUUGGUGUGAAUUGCAGAAUCCCGUGAACCAUCGAGUCUUUGAACGCAAGUUGCGCCCGAAGCCAUUAGGCCGAGGGCACGCCUGCCUGGGUGUCACA